rnacentral:tRNA from 1 species
GAGGGUAGAGCUCAGUGGCAGAGCGUGUGCUUAACAUGCACAAAGUCCUGGGUUCAACCCCCAGUGCUUCCA